rnacentral:rRNA from 1 species
AACCCCGUAGUCGAAACUUCGUUCUCUCUUGAAUGUAUCCUGAGUACGGCGGAACACGUGAAAUUCCGUCGGAAUCUGGGAGGACCAUCUCCCAAGGCUAAAUACUCCCUAGUGAUCGAUAGUGAACCAGUACCGUGAGGGAAAGGUGAAAAGCACCCCGGAAGGGGAGUGAAAGAGAUCCUGAAACCGUGUGCCUACAAAUAGUCAGAGCCCGUUAAUGGGUGAUGGCGUGCCUUUUGUAGAAUGAACCGGCGAGUUACGAUCCCGUGCGAGGUUAAGCUGAAGAGGCGGAGCCGCAGCGAAAGCGAGUCUGAAUAGGGCGUUUAGUACGUGGUCGUAGACCCGAAACCAGGUGAUCUACCCAUGUCCAGGGUGAAGUUCAGGUAACACUGAAUGGAGGCCCGAACCCACGCACGUUGAAAAGUGCGGGGAUGAGGUGUGGGUAGCGGAGAAAUUCCAAUCGAACCUGGAGAUAGCUGGUUCUCCCCGAAAUAGCUUUAGGGCUAGCCUUAAGUGUAAGAGUCUUGGAGGUAGAGCACUGAUUGAACUAGGGGUCCUCAUCGGAUUACCGAAUUCAGUCAAACUCCGAAUGCCAAUGACUUAUCCUUAGGAGUCAGACUGCGAGUGAUAAGAUCCGUAGUCAAGAGGGAAACAGCCCAGAUCGCCAGCUAAGGUCCCAAAGUGUGUAUUAAGUGGAAAAGGAUGUGGAGUUGCUUAGACAACUAGGAUGUUGGCUCAGAAGCAGCCACCAUUUAAAGAGUGCGUAAUAGCUCACUAGUCGAGUGACUCUGCGCCGAAAAUGUACCGGGGCUAAAUACACCACCGAAGCUGCGAAUUGAUACCAAUGGUAUCAGUGGUAGGGGAGCGUUCUAAGUGCAGUGAAGUCAGACCGGAAGGACUGGUGGAGCGCUUAGAAGUGAGAAUGCCGGUAUGAGUAGCGAAAGACGGGUGAGAAUCCCGUCCACCGAAUGCCUAAGGUUUCCUGAGGAAGGCUCGUCCGCUCAGGGUUAGUCAGGACCUAAGCCGAGGCCGACAGGCGUAGGCGAUGGACAACAGGUUGAUAUUCCUGUACCACCUCUUUAUCGUUUGAGCAAUGGAGGGACGCAGAAGGAUAGAAGAAGCGUGCGAUUGGUUGUGCACGUCCAAGCAGUUAGGCUGAUAAGUAGGCAAAUCCGCUUAUCGUGAAGGCUGAGCUGUGAUGGGGAAGCUCCUUAUGGAGCGAAGUCUUUGAUUCCCCGCUGCCAAGAAAAGCUUCUAGCGAGAUAAAAGGUGCCUGUACCGCAAACCGACACAGGUAGGCGAGGAGAGAAUCCUAAGGUGUGCGAGAGAACUCUGGUUAAGGAACUCGGCAAAAUGACCCCGUAACUUCGGGAGAAGGGGUGCUUUCUUAACGGAAAGCCGCAGUGAAUAGGCCCAAGCGACUGUUUAGCAAAAACACAGGUCUCUGCGAAGCCGUAAGGCGAAGUAUAGGGGCUGACACCUGCCCGGUGCUGGAAGGUUAAGGAGAGGGGUUAGCGUAAGCGAAGCUCUGAACUGAAGCCCCAGUAAACGGCGGCCGUAACUAUAACGGUCCUAAGGUAGCGAAAUUCCUUGUCGGGUAAGUUCCGACCCGCACGAAAGGUGUAACGAUUUGGGCACUGUCUCAACCAGAGACUCGGUGAAAUUAUAGUACCUGUGAAGAUGCAGGUUACCCGCGACAGGACGGAAAGACCCCGUGGAGCUUUACUGUAGCCUGAUAUUGAAUUUUGGUACAGUUUGUACAGGAUAGGCGGGAGCCAUUGAAACCGGAGCGCUAGCUUCGGUGGAGGCGCUGGUGGGAUACCGCCCUGACUGUAUUGAAAUUCUAACCUACGGGUCUUAUCGACCCGGGAGACAGUGUCAGGUGGGCAGUUUGACUGGGGCGGUCGCCUCCUAAAGUGUAACGGAGGCGCCCAAAGGUUCCCUCAGAAUGGUUGGAAAUCAUUCGUAGAGUGCAAAGGCAUAAGGGAGCUUGACUGCGAGACCUACAAGUCGAGCAGGGACGAAAGUCGGGCUUAGUGAUCCGGUGGUUCCGCAUGGAAGGGCCAUCGCUCAACGGAUAAAAGCUACCCCGGGGAUAACAGGCUUAUCUCCCCCAAGAGUCCACAUCGACGGGGAGGUUUGGCACCUCGAUGUCGGCUCAUCGCAUCCUGGGGCUGUAGUCGGUCCCAAGGGUUGGGCUGUUCGCCCAUUAAAGCGGUACGCGAGCUGGGUUCAGAACGUCGUGAGACAGUUCGGUCCCUAUCCGUCGUGGGCGCAGGAAAUUUGAGAGGAGCUGUCCUUAGUACGAGAGGACCGGGAUGGACGCACCGCUGGUGUACCAGUUGUUCUGCCAAGGGCAUAGCUGGGUAGCUAUGUGCGGAAGGGAUAAGUGCUGAAAGCAUCUAAG